CCCGUCGUGAUGAGGGAGAAGGGAAAGAAGUGGAGUCAACCACGGGGUUUAUGAAAAAGGAGCGUGUCUGGGACUAUCCUCCUAAUCCGUAUGGGAUGAGUGGGUACGAUUUCUUCUCAUUCGGCAGGACAGGCGGUGAAGUAACUGAUGCAUUGGGCAAACCAGGUCAUUAUCUGUGGUAAUAAUAUGAUUAAAGAGGACUAACAUGAAGCAGAAUUUCAUCAUAGUAUGUGUGUUUACGAUCUUUAACUAAUGUUUGUCUUUUUGCAUGUAAGAUAAUGGGAUGUUCCUAUGAGUUCUUAAUGUGACACUGGUUAUAUGUUGGUACUUAUGUUCGUAUUUAGAAGGGUAUGUUUAUUUGCAUGAAUAUCCUGGUCUAUUUGCUACCCACUUUUCACAACUAAUUUAGCUCUUUUGGUAUGA